GACGAACGCUGGCGGCGUGCCUAAUACAUGCAAGUCGAGCGGACUGACUGGGAGCUUGCUCUUGUUCGGUCAGCGGCGGACGGGUGAGUAACACGUGGACAACCUGCCCGCAAGACCGGGAUAACUCCGGGAAACCGGAGCUAAUACCGGAUAACACCCAACACCGCGUGGGCGUUGGGUGAAAGGCGGCGCAAGCUGCCAGUUUCGGGGGGGCCCGCGGCGCAUGAGCUGGUUGGUGGGGUCACGGCUUACCAAGGCAGCGAUGCGGAGACGGCCUGAGGGGGUGAGUGGCCACACUGGGACUGAGACACGGCCCAGAGGCCUAGGGGAGGGGGCCGUAGGGAAUCUUGCGGAAUGGGGGAGAGCAUGAGGGAGAGAGGCGGCGUGCGGGAGGAAGGACGUCGGGUCGUAGAGGUCUGUUGUGAGGGAGGAAGGCGCGCUGUUUGGAGACGGCGGGGGGGUGACGGUAACUGACGAGGAAGCCCCGGCUAACUACGUG
rnacentral:rRNA from 1 species